rnacentral:rRNA from 1 species
GUGCCAGCAGCCGCGGUAAUACGUAGGGCGCGAGCGUUGUCCGGAAUUAUUGGGCGUAAAGGGCUCGUAGGCGGUUUGUCGCGUCUAGCGUUUAAGGCUCGGGCUUAACCCGGGUUUGCGUUGGGUACGGGCAGGCUUGAGUGCGGUAGGGGUAACUGGAAUUCCUGGUGUAGCGGUGGAAUGCGCAGAUAUCAGGAGGAACACCGGUGGCGAAGGCGGGUUACUGGGCCGUUACUGACGCUGAGGAGCGAGAGCGUGGGGAGCGAACAGGAUUA